GAUCUCCAUAAAUAAACCUCAAAUUAUCCUAAAUUCAUAAUUCUCAAAACUGUCAAAGAAAUGGAUCUCUGUCUUCUUAAAAGGAUACAAAAAUACAAGUACAAUCCAGGUCGAAAACACCAGAUUCUACAACUGAAUAAUCUAAGCCAGAAAUUUACUAACAUUUAAUUUAACUCUAGCCAUCUAAAUACUACACAAGCAAAGAAUAAUUACAAAAGCUGAAAAACGUUUUGGGCACUAAGGCAGUAAGGCUAAAAUGUCAUGAUCUCAGUUGGCCCAGGAAUGAUUUUAGCUCUGCUAUUAGAACUCACCGUGAUCUCAUCUCAACAAUGGUUAUGCUUCCUACCGUAGAAAAUCUUGCGAUGAUUUCAGCAAACUUGUUCAUCCGAUGGUUAGAACGACCUCAACUCGUAGAAAUCACACCCACGUCGUUGGGCGCCUCGACAUCACCUAAAGAGCUCCGACUCGAUCUUAGAUCUGUAGCUCUUGAUGGAGGAGACGUGGCUCUCGUUGCCGUCUGCUGGUGGGAAAUCGCGAGAGAGAGCGACAUUUCCAUCGGAUAAAAUCUGUAAUUCCAGAUCGAAAUCAGACGACUCUCGGAUUUGCGAUACAACUAAUAAGACACGCGGAGAAAGAGACAAACCUGCUGCGGCGCAAGUUAGAACGGCGGUUGACGAGGCGGAGUAAUUGAACGUAGAGUUGCAGCUGAAAGAGCUCAAGGGGGAGAAAGAGAGAGAGAGAGGGAGAGAAAGAGAGAAAUUAAAAGGGGAGGGCGGGGAAAUGCGGCUAAUACGGUUCAGGGU
rnacentral:lncRNA from 1 species